CCAACAGGGAUUGCCCCAGUAACGGCGAGUGAAGCGGCAACAGCUCAAAUUUGAAAUCUGGCCCCUCCGGGACCCGAGUUGUAAUUUGUAGAGGAUGCUUCGGGCGCGGCGCCGGUCUAAGUUCCUUGGAACAGGACGUCACAGAGGGUGAGAACCCCGUACGUGACCGGCGGCCGAGCCCGUGUGAAGCUCCUUCGGCGAGUCGAGUUGCUUGGGAAUGCAGCUCCAAAUGGGUGGUAAAUUUCAUCUAAAGCUAAAUACCGGCCGGAGACCGAUAGCGCACAAGUAGAGUGAUCGAAAGAUGAAAAGCACUUUGGAAAGAGAGUCAAACAGUACGUGAAAUUGUUGAAAGGGAAGCGCUUGCGACCAGACUUGCCCGCGGGUGAUCAGCCGUUAUUCGUAGCGGUGCACUCGCCCGCGGACAGGCCAGCGUCGGCCCGGGCGGUCGGACAAAGGCCCCGGGAAUGUAGCUCCCCCCGGGGAGUGUUAUAGCCCGGGGCGCAAUGCGGCCGGCCCGGACCGAGGACCGCGCUUCGGCUAGGACGCUGGCGUAAUGGCCGUAAGCGACCCGUCUUGAAACACGGACCAAGGAGUCUAACGUCCCUGCGAGUGUUUGGGUGUCAAACCCACGCGCGGAAUGAAAGUGAACGGAGGUGGGAGCCCUCCGGGGCGCACCAUCGACCGAUCCUGAUGUCUUCGGAUGGAUUUGAGUAAGAGCAUGGCCGUUGGGACCCGAAAGAUGGUGAACUAUGCCUGGAUAGGGUGAAGCCAGAGGAAACUCUGGUGGAGGCUCGCAGCGGUUCUGACGUGCAAAUCGAUCGUCAAAUCUGGGUAUAGGGGCGAAAGACUAAUCGAACCAUCUAGUAGCUGGUUCAUGCCGAAGUUUCCCUCAGGAUAGCAGUAACGUUCUUCAGUUUUAUGAGGUAAAGCGAAUGAUCAGAGGCCUUGGGGUUGAAACAACCUUAACCUAUUCUCAAACUUUAAAUAUGUAAGAAGUCCUUGUUGCUCAGUUGAACGUGGACAUUUGAAUGCACCGUUACUAGUGGGCCAUUUUUGGUAAGCAGAACUGGCGAUGCGGGAUGAACCGAACGUGAGGUUAAGGUGCCGGAAUGCACGCUCAUCAGACACCACAAAAGGUGUUAGUUCAUCUAGACAGCCGGACGGUGGCCAUGGAAGUCGGAACCCGCCAAGGAGUGUGUAACAACUCACCGGCCGAAUGAACUAGCCCUGAAAAUGGAUGGCGCUCAAGCGUGCUACCCAUACCUCACCGCCAGGGUAGAAACGAUGCCCUGGCGAGUAGGCAUGCGUGGGGG
rnacentral:rRNA from 1 species